AGAUUUAUUCUAUUAAUAGGGCAGGAGCUCUACUUAUAUAUAUAGAAUUGGGUUGAAAUAUUAUUAAUAGUAUUUGGACUUUUUUACUAUUGAUUUUUUAGCUUUUAGAUUUACACUUUAAUCAAUUAUAUCAUUGAGAUCAUACUAUUCAAACCAACUACCACUCAACGUUAGGAGGACCAUCACUAAACUCUAGGGGACCACUAUCAUCCUAACCUUAUAAUUUUUCAUCCAAGGGUUAAAAAGUCGAUAGCAUGAGCGCCUAAUACUAUUAAUACUAUUGGCUCAUUUUGACCUUUAAAACUGUUAAUUUUAAAUCACUUCAAUCACUAGAUAAAGACUAUUAAAAAAUCACAAAUUUACUUUUUAGAUACUUCAAAAAUUCUAGAUCAAAUCUAAUAUAGUAGAUUGUUGAUUUAAAAGUUUCAUCAUUAAGAAUAACUUGAAAGUACGGACGUCUCCAUGCUCUCUCUGUGUAUAUAUAAAAAGACACACACACACACACACACAC
rnacentral:lncRNA from 1 species